UGACGUUACUGACAGAAGAAGCACCGGCUAACUCCGUGCCAGCAGCCGCGGUAAUACGGAGGGUGCGAGCGUUAAUCGGAAUUACUGGGCGUAAAGCGUACGCAGGCGGUUUGUUAAGCGAGAUGUGAAAGCCCCGGGCUCAACCUGGGAACUGCAUUUCGAACUGGCAAACUAGAGUGUGAUAGAGGGUGGUAGAAUUUCAGGUGUAGCGGUGAAAUGCGUAGAGAUCUGAAGGAAUACCGAUGGCGAAGGCAGCCACCUGGGUCAACACUGACGCUCAUGUACGAAAGCGUGGGGAGCAAACAGGAUUAGAUACCCUGGUAGUCCACGCCGUAAACGAUGUCUACUAGAAGCUCGGAGCCUCGGCUCUGUUUUUCAAAGCUAACGCAUUAAGUAGACCGCCUGGGGAGUACGGCCGCAAGGUUAAAACUCAAAUGAAUUGACGG
rnacentral:rRNA from 1 species